ACUUAAAUAGUUUAAAAAAAAUGUUGAUUUGUGGUGUCAAGGAUAUGUGUUACAUUUUAGGUU
rnacentral:tRNA from 1 species